rnacentral:lncRNA from 10 species
UUCCCUCCUCUUAAAGAAAUCCUUGUUUUCCUUUUUAGGGUAAACCAUCCAUCUGUGCCUUUUCACCUCUUUUUAAAAUUUGUUUUCAAUUUAUCACCAAAUAUAAAGGACAUCCCAUCUAUCUGCUAAAGGACUCCUGCUCAAAUAUGCUCAAUUCUAAAUGAUUUAUUUCACCCUUUUCACUCCAGGGUGCUUCCAUGGUACGCUGCACUUCCCCACAUCACUGCCAGCUCCUCCAAAGGGCCCUCUCUUUGUGAGUCCUAAACCUCCUCAGCACACCAUCCCUUGCAAUCUGGCUUCCAUUUGUUUAUUUGCAUCAUAGUAGCGCAGCCCAAAGGCUUUUGUUUUUAUAUCCAUCCAUCCAUCCACCUGAAAAAGAUUUAUUGUUAGAUGCCUGUUAAGAUUUAUGAAUAUGCAAAGGAAUAAGGCAAGCUCUUUGCUUUCAAGGGGAUAUUUGUUGGUAGAAACAGACAUGAAAUAAAAGGUAUAUCCCUAUCCUUCUUGAAUUCUCCCUUCAGGUCAUACGGUAACCAAUGCUGAUUUUCUUCUAUGCUGUCUUCUCUGGUAUAUGAUGGCAUCGGAGGGACAUCAACAAGCAUUUUCUGACUAGGUCAAGUGCAUUAAUCUUAGGGGAACAUCUUGAGGAGAGGUAAGCUUGCUCCCGUUCAGUUAGACACACGGAGGGGCUGUGAUCCAGAAUAACUCUGCCCACCUGCUGCUCUUCCUUUUUAAGGGAUUGGGGGACAUCAAAGUGGGAAAAGAGAGCCAAGUUCUCUCUGAGUGCCAAAAAACUUUUGCUCAGGGCCACAUGUUUACAGGAGUUUCUGGGGACAGCACCUGGCCAGGAAUUGGAGACACUGGAGGAAGUAGGGUCUGCACAUAGCUGCUCCUAUUGGAAGGGGGUUUGUGGAGGUUGAGUCCCAGUCCCAAAGACCUCCUAACCAGGGAGCAUGGACUACUUGGUGGUGAGUGGCAGAUUGUAGAGUUGGAGUUGCCUGUGUCUUAACACAUGAAAUCAGAAUUGGUCUUAAAAAUCCAGUUGAGCAAAUAUGAGACUUCCAGUGUGAGGGUGAAAAGAUCCAACUAUGUUCUUGCAGUGUGAGAAUGCUGAGGACUUAUAAAACAUGAGAGCCUGACUACUGAAAGUCACACUGGAUUAUUUUCUUUCUGUUUCCCAUAAAGUGGGCAAGCUCUUACAGAUGCAUACUCCCAUGACAACCUGUAACUUUUGUAAUGUUGACCAUGAGUAAAUACUUUAUAGCUCUAAUUCCUCAGCUUAACCUGAUGUCUUGAAGAUAGUAGGCUCUGAAUAAAUAUCUACCAAAUAAAUAAAUGAUUUGUAAUCACUUCAUUGAAUAAGCCUUUUUCAUUAGAGCAUAAGUAAUAUGAAGCAGGGUGUAAUGUUUACCCUGGACUCCCAAUGUUAACACAAUGGCUGGCACAUAAACAACAGGCACUCAAUAAACACCUUUAAGCAAAUUAAUGAUUACAUGACUAGUUCUAAUUCGUCAGAUUCUGCCUCAGCAGCAUUUCUGGCAACUGUGUCAUCUUUUUUCCAAACUUAGGGCAUCAUGAUCUUUUGCUCAUACUUCUUAGGUGGGACGCCCCAUGCUCUACACACCUGAAAGCUAUUUUAUAAACUUUGGCCAAAUGAAUCUUCCACAAGUACAAUUCCAUUUAUGUUCCUUUACUACUUACAAAUAUUAAUCACUUCCCAUUGGCCACGGAGCAAGGUCUAGAUUUAAAUGACUUAAAGAAUAUAUUAAUUGUGCUCUGCCACUACAUUCCCAUAAGAUGAAUCUGCUGUCUCCAGCUGGAAAUUCUCUCUCUCUCUCUCUCUCUCUCUCUCUCUCUCUGGAAACUGUC